UACAGAGGUCUCAAGCGUUGUUCGGAUUCAUUGGGCGUAAAGGGUGCGUAGGUGGCGCCGUAAGUCGGGUGUGAAAUUUCGGAGCUUAACUCCGAAACUGCAUUCGAUACUGCGGUGCUCGAGGACUGGAGAGGAGACUGGAAUUUACGGUGUAGCAGUGAAAUGCGUAGAGAUCGUAAGGAAGACCAGUGGCGAAGGCGGGUCUCUGGACAGUUCCUGACACUGAGGCACGGAGGCCAGGGGAGCAAACGGG
rnacentral:rRNA from 1 species